rnacentral:pre_miRNA from 1 species
AUAUGUUGGUGUACUUGUGCAGGGUGGAGAAGCAGGGCACGUGAGCGGCCAUCCAGUGUAGCUUCGCUGCGCGUCCAUGGCGGCGAACGCGCGUGAUCUGGAGUUUGGAUGGUCGUUCAUGUGUCCGUCUUCUCCACCGAGCACUGGCAUAUCCAAGACC